UACGAGGGGGGCGAGCGUUGUUCGGAAUUAUUGGGCGUAAAGGGUGCGUAGGCGGUUUGGUAAGUCUUGUGUGAAAUCUCCAGGCUCAACUUGGAGUCUGCACGAGAAACUGCCGGGCUUGAGUGUGGGAGAGGUGAGUGGAAUUCCUGGUGUAGCGGUGAAAUGCGUAGAUAUCAGGAGGAACACCUGUGGCGAAAGCGGCUCACUGGCCCGAUACUGACGCUGAGGCACGAAAGCGUGGGGAGCAAACAGG
rnacentral:rRNA from 1 species